ACCACGAGCACUCGCCGGUAUACCCUUUGUGCUAUGAUAAGCACUGUAAGCACAGGCUGUUCCGUCCCGUGCACGUUCAAUCGUUUCCACUUGUUUCCCUCCUAUGCUCAGGGACCUAUAAAUUUCAAGAUUAUUAUUUAGGUGAUCUACAUACAUCUCAUGAAGCAGUGAUGUGAUCUAGUACAGGGAAACUAAGAAUCGCAGUGGUCUUACAGGAUUGUUGAAAUAACAAGCCAGAACAUCAAGAACGCAGUCGCAAGAUCGCAUAACUCAAAUCAAAUUCUCUAAAGUGAUGGAUGCCUUAAAUCUCGGAGUCGUACUUGUCUCGAACUUAUAGUACUUUGAAGAGCCUCAGGAGCGGAACGUUGUUGAUAAUGUAAUACGUAGAAUUUACAUUAGGUUGUUAUUAUAUGCACAAAUUAUUCGUUCCAGUUACGCUAGUUUGUAGCUGCAUACGUAGUACCAUAACUUUAU